CAAAAUCCUGAAAGGAAAAUGGAGAAAGGAUUGAGAAUUCCAGUGUAUUAUCAAUGACCUUCAUCCAAAGACCAUCAGGAACACACUUGUAGUUGAACAAAGUUAUAUUUACUGACUUCUUGCAACAAGGGAGACUGCAUACCUUUAAGAAUCAUGGAGUGUCUCAGUGGCAGAUGGAUCCAACAUUUUGGAGCGCGACCCAACCCCGCCCUACCGGAAGCUGUCAUGUACAGGGAAGCUCUCUGGCCACGCCUAGAGUUCAGCACCCCGGACACGGACAGCGACACCGCCCAGUUUAGUCCCAUGACUCGCUGCAGAGAUUUUUCACCUGACGAAGGAAUUGGCCAACCCAAACUGGUUUCAAGGACCAUGUGACUGACUAAUUUACAAAGCCAGAGUUGGAGGGGGAUAUGAAACCCCUUAUUUGGGACAUUUAGAACUGUGGUAAAACCAGUCGAUGUUAAAUAAUAUUUCAUACUGCAUAACCCUCCACUUUUACUCUCACUACCCGCUGGAAUCUAAAUAACCAGCGAGUAGCGCCUGGCUACGGGACAGGCAUUAGGUUAUUAACCUCCGUGUGUUGGUUUAUUCCGACGAAAUGCGUAAGACACUGAAGGCGGUACAAACGUCUGUGUGAGUUAUGGUGGCCAAUGCCAUGUCUUGCACAAAGCAGCCUGUCAGCUCUCCCAAGAAACCAGCCUGGAGACGGACUGCUCUUUCUCAUUUUCCAAUUAUCCACAAACAGCAGCUGCCUCUUUGUUCGCAUGAAAUCACUGUUUUAAGCAUACAGGCUGAUCGCACUGGAGCAGAAGUGUGUUGUAGAAGUGACGGUUUAAGUGUCAUUUUUCCAGUUGCCUAGCGACUGAUCAGACACAAAGAGCACGGUCUGGGGUUUGACUAGUGUCUGAGAAAGGCAAAAACCCAAGGGCAAAUGAAAAUGGGUUCAGGAUAGCAUAAUAUAUUACCUGGGGCUAGAGUUUAGAAUCAAUCUAGUUAAGCCUCAAUGCUGGGGAAGUAGGUAGGUCUAAGGAAGAACUAGUAACUAUUUAAGGUAGACAAAUAGGGUACGUUAAGCCGGGUUUUAGUUGUAAUUUAUCCGCAUUAACGGAUCGCUUUCUUUUUCAGUUUCAGCAACGAAGAUUCAGAUCUUUAACCAGCAGAGGGCGAGUGGACUGCAUUUUUCGCCCCUCAGACACUCCCUCUUCCAUCCUCCCCCUCUGCCUCCGGGAAAUUAAUUUAUUAGGCUUUUCAAAUACAGACCAAGCCGAGGAAGGUGGGGUGGCAGGAGAGCAGUGCAGGACUUGGCAGACUGCCAGCCCUGUCAGCCUUGAACGUGUGACUGCACUGAACUCCUGACACGCCUCUCCCUGCUCCAGGCUGCGGAUGAGACUGCAGUGGUGGUUGCAGGAGGGAGCAGAGAUGAACGUCAGCCCCACCUUCAGGAGCUGUCAUUUUUGGGGUCACUAGCUUAAGAGAAUUGAGAUGACCAAAGGUAGCCUGCGAAGGAGAGAAAGACGGAACAAGCAGUAUUAUUCUCAGGGCCGAUAGUAUGUGCUGGAAUAACAGGAAAUAAAGGCUCUGCUCUGCUUUGACACCCUAGGAACACAAAUUGGGGGGGGGUGUCUGGGGGUUAAGGAAAGGGAGGAGAUGAUAGGAAACACUGCAAGUUCUGGCUGAGUCAUCUUUAACAGAGAACAAGCAAAGCAAGCCAGCUCAGGAGGAGAGACAAUGAGAGAAAGCCUGCCAGAAUACAGGCAGAGCAAUAAAGCAGUUAAUUUAUUGUUGGGCGGGCCCUCUGUAUUCUGGAGGGUCUUACCUUGUAAGAUUUUGCAGAACCUCCUUGGGCAGGCAGCCAGAAAUCCCAUUAAUUGGACAUGCCCUUUCUCAUCCACAUAUUAUGUCUCGGAAUUCAUCUAACUCGGUUUCAGACUGGUAAAAUUAAUUUUUCCUGGAGGCCAUUACUCUAAAUUUUAUGCAGCAUUGCAUUUUCUCUCCCUCAUCACUAAAUUUUUGUAGAGUUUGUGUUUAAAGGACUCCAUUUAAUUAAUAAAUCAAUUUAUAAGAGAUUGUGAGACUCUGUUAAAGUUGGUAUUGGGAAGACAAAAGUAUCUUAAAAGAAUAGAUCGACAUUCUUCAGAAAAGCAUAAUUUGACUCACAGCAUUAUGAUUAAUUUUACAGGUGCAUUGCAUUUCUGUGUAUGCCAGAGGGUACAUGUGCCUGCCAGAGAGAGAGAGAACAUGUCCCCCAGUGGGGACUGCUUAUUCCACAGUCCCCUUUCCUCCAUUCCCCCAUCCUUCAGGAUCCUGGGCAUGAGUACCACAAGCUAUGGGAGGAGGGAUUCCAACAGUGAUCAGCGAUGUGGGAUCCAUCUCCUUCCAGACAGCAUUUAACCACUGUGCCAUGGGGCCAGCCAGUAAAUUCCAUUUCAAUGGUGCAUACAGCACACUUACGUUUCUACAUACUAAACCUUGUUCACGUCACGUCUAAAUCCAAAUGAGUGCGUGCAUAAAAUCAGCUGAUAUA